GUGUUGUAUGAAAGGAGAUAAGGUCAGCACUCCCACUGACAAGGAUGGAAGAGGCCCUUGGAGAUAAAAAAAAAAAAAAAAGAUGCAUACAUUUAAGGCAUUGCCGCCAACUUCAUGGCAUCAAGACAUUUUU
rnacentral:ncRNA from 1 species